ACGCACGCUGGCGGCGUGCUUAACACAUGCAAGUCGAACGGAAAGGCCCUGCUUUUGUGGGGUGCUCGAGUGGCGAACGGGUGAGUAACACGUGAGUAACCUGCCCUUGACUUUGGGAUAACUUCAGGAAACUGGGGCUAAUACCGGAUAGGAGCUCCUGCUGCAUGGUGGGGGUUGGAAAGUUUCGGCGGUUGGGGAUGGACUCGCGGCUUAUCAGCUUGUUGGUGGGGUAGUGGCUUACCAAGGCUUUGACGGGUAGCCGGCCUGAGGGGGUGACCGGCCACAUUGGGACUGAGAUACGGCCCAGACUCCUACGGGAGGCAGCAGUGGGGAAUAUUGCACAAUGGGCGGAAGCCUGAUGCAGCAACGCCGCGUGCGGGAUGACGGCCUUCGGGUUGUAAACCGCUUUCGCCUGUGACGAAGCGUGAGUGACGGUAAUGGGUAAAGAAGCACCGGCUAACUACGUG
rnacentral:rRNA from 1 species